AGAGUUUGAUCCUGGCUCAGAACGAACGCUGGCGGCAGGCUUAACACAUGCAAGUCGAACGCCCCGCAAGGGGAGUGGCAGACGAGUGAGUAACGCGUGGGAGCAUACCCUUUCCUGCGGAAUAGCUCCGGGAAACUGGAAUUAAUACCGCAUACGCCCUACGGGGGAAAGAUUUAUCGGGGAAGGAUUGGCCCGCGUUGGAUUAGCUAGUUGGUGGGGUAAAGGCCUACCAAGGCGACGAUCCAUAGCUGGUCUGAGAGGAUGAUCAGCCACAUUGGGACUGAGACACGGCCCAAACUCCUACGGGAGGCAGCAGUGGGGAAUAUUGGACAAUGGGCGCAAGCCUGAUCCAGCCAUGCCGCGUGAGUGAUGAAGGCCUUAGGGUUGUAAAGCUCUUUCACCGGAGAAGAUAAUGACGGUAUCCGGAGAAGAAGCCCCGGCUAACUUCGUGCCAGCAGCCGCGGUAAUACGAAGGGGGCUAGCGUUGUUCGGAAUUACUGGGCGUAAAGCGCACGUAGGCGGAUAUUUAAGUCAGGGGUGAAAUCCCAGAGCUCAACUCUGGAACUGCCUUUGAUACUGGGUAUCUUGAGUAUGGAAGAGGUAAGUGGAAUUCCGAGUGUAGAGGUGAAAUUCGUAGAUAUUCGGAGGAACACCAGUGGCGAAGGCGGCUUACUGGUCCAUUACUGACGCUGAGGUGCGA
rnacentral:rRNA from 1 species